GGCAUUGUGGCUUAAUGGAUAGGGCGUCGGACUACGGAUCUGAAGAUUGCAGGUUCGAGUCCUGCCAGGGUCG
rnacentral:tRNA from 1 species